rnacentral:rRNA from 1 species
GUGGGGAAUCUUCCGCAAUGGACGAAAGUCUGACGGAGCAACGCCGCGUGAGUGAUGAAGGUCUUCGGAUUGUAAAGCUCUGUUAAUCGGGACGAAAGAGCCUAGUGUGAAUAAUGCUAGGAAGUGACGGUACCGGAAUAGAAAGCCACGGCUAACUACGUGCCAGCAGCCGCGGUAAUACGUAGGUGGCAAGCGUUGUCCGGAAUUAUUGGGCGUAAAGCGCGCGCAGGCGGAUCUGCCAGUCUGACUUAAAAGUUCGGGGCUUAACCCCGUGAUGGGAUGGAAACUACAGAUCUAGAGUAUCGGAGAGGAAAGUGGAAUUCCUAGUGUAGCGGUGAAAUGCGUAGAUAUUAGGAAGAACACCAGUGGCGAAGGCGACUUUCUGGACGAAAACUGACGCUGAGGCGCGAAAGCCAGGGGAGCGAACGGGAUUAGAUACCCCUGUAGUCC